GCACUACUGAGGAGUCCCAUACUAGGACGAAACGGCCUUCCAGUGC
rfam:Schistosoma curassoni strain Dakar, Senegal genome assembly, scaffold: SCTD_contig0021846